ACAAAGAAGAGUUUGAUCCUGGCUCAGGACGAACGCUGGCGGCGUGCCUAACACAUGCAAGUCAAGGGGAAAGGUUUCUUCGGAGACCGAUUACACUGGCGGACGGGUGAGUAACGCGUAGGCAACCUGCCCUCAAGCUUGGGAUAACCUCUGGAAACGGGGGCUAAUACCGGAUGUGGUUUUGAUGUUGCAUAGCAUUAAGAUUAAAGCUGGGUUUCUAGCACUUGAGGAUGGGCCUGCGUUCCAUUAGCUAGUUGGUGAGGUAACGGCCCACCAAGGCGACGAUGGAUAGCUGGUCUGAGAGGAUGAUCAGCCACACUGGGACUGAGAUACGGCCCAGACUCCUACGGGAGGCAGCAGUGGGGAAUAUUGCGCAAUGCCCGCAAGGGUGACGCAGCGACGCCGCGUGGGUGAAGAAGCACUAAGGUGUGUAAAGCCCUGUCAGAAGGGAAGAACGGCGAUGUUUCGAAAGGGGCAUCGUGCGUAAUCCUUCCGAUUCGGUCCGCCCAUUUUGGCCAGCCAGCGGGCAAAACGGGGUGAGAGGUUGUAGACAAAGGUGAGCAGUUCCAGAUAGCGAGGCAGAGU
rnacentral:rRNA from 1 species